GUAGUACUCCCUCCGUCUGAAAAUAUUUGUUGGAAAAAUUAAUAAAAAUGGAUGUAUGUAGAACUAAAAUACAUGUAGAUACAUUCAUUUCUCCGACAAGUAUUUCCGGACGAGGGAAUAGUAU
rfam:Hordeum vulgare subsp. vulgare, WGS project CAJW01000000 data, contig: morex_contig_7456